UGACAAACCUGGUUGAUCCUGCCAGUAGUCAUAUGCUUGUCUCAAAGAUUAAGCCAUGCAUGUCUCAGUACAAGCCAAAUUAAGGUGAAACCGCGAAAGGCUCAUUAAAUCAGUUAUGGUUCCUUAGAUCGUACCCACAUUUACUUGGAUAACUGUGGUAAUUCUAGAGCUAAUACAUGCAAACAGAGCUCCGACCGGAGACGGAAGGAGCGCUUUUAUUAGAUCAAAACCAAUCGGUGGCGGGUUCGCUCGUCACCGUACACCUUGGUGACUCUGAAUAACUUUUUGCUGAUCGCACGGUCUCGCACCGGCGACGCAUCUUUCAAAUGUCUGCCUUAUCAACUGUCGAUGGUAGGUUCUGCGCCUACCAUGGUUGUAACGGGUAACGGGGAAUCAGGGUUCGAUUCCGGAGAGGGAGCCUGCGAAACGGCUACCACAUCCAAGGAAGGCAGCAGGCGCGCAAAUUACCCACUCCCGGCACGGGGAGGUAGUGACGAAAAAUAACGAUACGGGACUCAUCCGAGGCCCCGUAAUCGGAAUGAGUACACUCUAAACCCUUUCACGAGGAACAAUUGGAGGGCAAGUCUGGUGCCAGCAGCCGCGGUAAUUCCAGCUCCAAUAGCGUAUAUUAAAGUUGUUGCGGUUAAAAGGCUCGUAGUCGAAUCUGUGUCCCGCGCCGCCGGUUCAUCGCUCGCGGUGUUCAACUGGCGUGUCCGCGGGACGUCCUGCCGGUGAGCUUAGCUCGCAAGGGCGGCUCAACUUCAAAUCCCAUCGCGGUGCUCUUCAUUGAGUGUCGAGGUGGGCCGGCACGUUUACUUUGAACAAAUUAGAGUGCUUAAAGCAGGCUAAAACUUCGCCUGAAUACUGUGUGCAUGGAAUAAUGGAAUAGGACCUCGGUUCUAUUUUGUUGGUUUUCGGAACCCCGAGGUAAUGAUUAAUAGGAACGGAUGGGGGCAUUCGUAUUGCGACGUUAGAGGUGAAAUUCUUGGAUCGUCGCAAGACGGACAGAAGCGAAAGCAUUUGCCAAAAACGCUUUCAUUGAUCAAGAACGAAAGUUAGAGGUUCGAAGGCGAUCAGAUACCGCCCUAGUUCUAACCAUAAACGAUGCCAGCUAGCGAUCCGCCGACGUUCCUCCGAUGACUCGGCGGGCAGCUUCCGGGAAACCAAAGCUUUUGGGUUCCGGGGGAAGUAUGGUUGCAAAGCUGAAACUUAAAGGAAUUGACGGAAGGGCACCACCAGGAGUGGAGCCUGCGGCUUAAUUUGACUCAACACGGGGAACCUCACCAGGCCCGGACACCGGAAGGAUUGACAGAUUGAGAGCUCUUUCUUGAUUCGGUGGGUGGUGGUGCAUGGCCG
rnacentral:rRNA from 1 species